rnacentral:lncRNA from 1 species
AAAAAUAGAUUAUUUUUAUCAAAAAUUAUUUGUAAAAGUAUUAAAUAUACAUACAUGUACAUGUGUAUACAAAAGGAAAACAACCAAUAAUAGAUAGAAUCUCAAAAUACCAAGUACAGAAAAUUAAACACCAAAAAUCAAAAUCAUAAAUUAAACACCAAAAAUCAAAAUCAUUACACAACCUGCUUACUCGUACUCUUACAUAUAACUUUAAAAUUAAACACCAAAAAUCAAAAUCAUAAAUCAAACACCAAAAAUCAAAAUCAUUACACAACCUUCUUACUCGUACUCUUACAAAAAAAAUUUGGGUAUAGGUUGAGAUACCAAUGUUAUGAUUCUAACUAGAGAGUUUGGCAAGUAUGGUCAGAUCGAAGAUUGUAAAGCUGUUGUAGAUAAGGUCAUCAGAAAAUCUAAAGGUUAUGCCUUUAUACUCUUCAAACAUAGGGUUCUGAGCCCCUCAAUUUAUAUUUCCAAAAGGUUGUUGAUGGUCCAACAACAAAAGCAACAUCACAACCAUCAUCAACAUCAAAAGUAUGGAAAUGGUGGCGAUCAUUACCCUUCAAAAACAUAGGUGAUGGUGUUGGUGGUGUAGGAGAGGCUCAUUAGUGGGUGGUUAUAACCCUGUUGUUCAUCCACCAUUGACUCCUGCUUUAGGGCAAGCAUUGACUGCAGUUCUUUUAACUCAAGGAGCUACAAUCGGGAAUCUUUUAGGACUUGAUGGACCUCCACAGGGGAUUUCUCCUGCAAUGAAAUGUCUUCAAUGAUGAAAAGCCUAAUCACCUUAUAAGCCAACGUCUCUAACACAUGCCCCUCUUAUCUCACCAUUUGAGUUUUAUUUAGAACCUAUAACCUCAUGUUCCAUUUUUUGAUUUGAUGUGAAUGUUUUCAGAGGUGAAAAGGAGCUAGAACAAACAUGUACAUCGAUAAAAAUCAACACUCUAACAUGUACAAUGAUAAAAAAAAAACAACCAAACAACUCCAAUUUUUUUUUUUCUAUUUGCUUCUUCGUGAUCAUCCAAGAACAAACACCAUAAUAUUGUUGUUUCUUUUCUUCUUAGCCUUCGUUUUCAGCCAAGAACACACAUCAGGACAUCUCCAACCCACCCCCAAACUCUAUUUAUUCCUCUAUUGUUUUCCAACCCUACCUCAUUUUCACCUCUAUUUUUGAGAUAUGAAUAGUAUUCCCCCAUAGGGAAAUACUAUUCAUAUCUCUAAGAAUAAAGGUUUGGUUGCCAAUUUUAAUCUCUAAGAAUAAAGGUGAAGUUUGGUUGUCAAUUUUAAUCCUUCUCAUUUUUAUUUUAUACAUUUCUAGUUUAUUUUAUAUACUAAUUAUAAUUUAAAUGCAAUGUUAAUAUUUAUAAUAUAUGUUAUAUAUUAAUUUAUAUUAAUUAAUCAUAAAUAUAGAGUUUAAUCAGGAGAUGGUGUAUUUGACAAUAUAUAUAAAAGGUGUAUUUGACGAUAUAUAUAAGUUAUAAAAAUAUAAUAUUUUAGAAAUAUACUUUUUCAGAUAAAAAAUAGGAUAGAAAAUCGUAGAGUAAAAAUGAAACAUUAUAUCCUCCAAUUUUUUUAGUUCAUUUAUGGGAAAAAAUGGAGAUGCGUCUAGAGGAGUCAUUACAUGUGCAACCAUGAUUACAUGUGCAACCAUGAGGGAAACAACCUCUUUCAAACCCCUUCCUUCCUUCCCACCGAUUUCACAGCAACACCCAAACUCCUAAAGAUUUUUAUUGUUGUUCUUCAUUCUUCUUUGAUUACCUGUCAAGAACACACCCAUUAGAGUGGUCGAUUACCUGUGAAAUCAAGAGAAUGGCCCCUUUUUUCCCCAUUUCCUUUGCUGUUAAUCGAAACAAAGAUGAUUUUUUUUACCUUUCUUCCUUGUUUUUUUGCCUAUUUCUUCGUCCCCUGUGAUGAACCACCGGCAGUGGUGGUGCUACGGUGAACCAUCGAGGCAGCAACCCCACCUAUCGCACUUUACUUCCUCUCAGCAGCCUAAACGAUCUCUACUUCCUAUCUCCUACUGGACCCUUCUUCUGACCUCCUCCCCUCACACACUCUCUUCUGCUCCCAUCGACCAACGACCGUCGGCGCCUCGCGUGCUCUGUCGCUGCUACUUGCGUCGCUUCAAUCGGACCCAUUUCCUCCUUCUCCCUUCGCACCUCAUAGCCAGGCCAGAAAGAGAGAAACCUCGCUGCUUCGUCCCUUCCCUCCCUUCGACCUCAUCGAUCCCCGGAGAAAGACCCUUCUCGCAAUUGAUCAACCAAAACAUCGGAUUAGUGACUAGGAGACUUCGUGAUUUUCUUGCCGGCUGACGUUCGUGUUUCUUUCCUUUACUCGAUCAACAUAUGACGAGGACGCAAACAUAAAAGCCCUAGAAUCCUUUUAACUUUGAUAAAAUGACCAAAUAACCCCUGAUAAACAUUCAUUUCAAAUAAACCCUUUUCCCAAACUUAGGUUUAUUUAAAACAAAAUAGCC